rnacentral:rRNA from 1 species
AUGGAUUCACCGGCGAGCGGUCGCAGCGCUCCGGCGUACGGCGACGCGGGGACGACCAGAUCUCGGCGAGAGGAAGGCGUCGGCUGCUGCCUGGGUUGGAGGCGAAUCGACGGGAGCUCGGCGUCGUUGCAGGCAUCAGGGACGCCCGGUGUGGCGGCGGUGCACGACGAGCAGCUCGCCACCCCGUAUGGGCGUGGGUGCAGGCAUCAGGGAGAAGAAAGGAGUGUAGGAGGAGAAAAGGAUAGGGACAGAGGAGUGGGGCGGCGUUCGGGACGGCUGUCUUUCAUGCCGAACGAGCUUCUUCGCUGA